UAGGGAAUCUUCCGCAAUGGACGAAAGUCUGACGGAGCAACGCCGCGUGAGUGAAGAAGGAUUUCGGUUCGUAAAACUCUGUUGUUAGGGAAGAAAAAAUGUAUAGUAACUAUAUACAAAAGAGACGGUACCUAACCAGAAAGCCACGGCUAACUACGUGCCAGCAGCCGCGGUAAUACGUAGGUGGCAAGCGUUGUCCGGAAUUAUUGGGCGUAAAGCGCGCGCAGGUGGUUUAGAAAGUCUGAUGUGAAAGCCCACGGCUCAACCGUGGAGGGUCAUUGGAAACUAAUAAACUUGAGUGCAGGAGAGAAAAGUGGAAUUCCUAGUGUAGCGGUGAUAUGCGUAGAGAUUAGGAGGAACACCGGUGGCGAAAGCGGCUUUUUGGCCUGCAACUGACACUGAGGCGCGAAAGCGUGGGGAGCAAACAGG
rnacentral:rRNA from 1 species